rnacentral:rRNA from 1 species
AGUUUGAUCCUGGCUCAGGAUGAACGCUAGCGGCAGGCUUAAUACAUGCAAGCCGAGGGAUAACUCCCGACUUCGGUCGGGAGUGACCGGCAAACGGGUGAGUAACGCGUAUGUAACCUGCCUUCAGCAGGGGGAUAACCCCGAGAAAUCGGGGCUAAUACCCCAUAGCAUUCCAAUAGAGCAUCCUGUUGGAAUUAAAGGUUCGCCGGCUGAAGAUGGGCAUGCGUCCUAUUAGUUAGUUGGUGGGGUAAAGGCCCACCAAGGCCACGAUAGGUAGCUGGCGUGAGAGCGCGGUCAGCCACACGGGCACUGAGACACGGGCCCGACUCCUACGGGAGGCAGCAGUAGGGAAUCUUGGUCAAUGGGUGCAAGCCUGAACCAGCCAUGCCGCGUGCUGGAUGAAGGCCCAAUGGGUCGUAAACAGCUUUUCUCAGGGACGAAUUGUCCUGAUUCGUUCGGGACUUGACGGUACCUGAGGAAUAAGCACCGGCUAACUCCGUGCCAGCAGCCGCGGUAAUACGGAGGGUGCAAGCGUUAUCCGGAAUCACUGGGUUUAAAGGGUGCGCAGGCGGACUGGUAAGUCAACGGUGAAAUCCCCGGGCUUAACCCGGAAAUUGCCGCUGAUACUGCCAGUCUUGAGUGUAGUCGAGGUGAGCGGAAUGUGCCAUGUAGCGGUGAAAUGCGUAGAUAUGGCACAGAACACCGAUUGCGGAAGCAGCUCACUAGGCUACUACUGACGCUCAGGCACGUAAGCGUGGGUAGCAAACAGGAUUAGAUACCCUGGUAGUCCACGCUGUAAACGUUGGUCACUUGCUUUGUCCACCUUUGGUGGGCGAGGCUCAGUGAAAGCGCUAAGUGACCCACCUGGGGAGUACGAUCGCAAGGUUGAAACUCAAAGGAAUUGGCGGGAGUCCGCACAAGCGGUGGAGCACGUGGUUUAAUUCGAUGAUAAGCGAGGAACCUUACCUGGACUAGAAUACAUGGUGCUACCUCGUGAAAACGAGGGUUCCUUCGGGACACCAUGUAAGGUGUUGCAUGGCUGUCGUCAGCUCGUGCCGUGAGGUGUUGGGUUAAGUCCCGUAACGAGCGCAACCCCUAUCCUUAGUUGCCAGCAGUUCGGCUGGGAACUCUAGGGAAACUGCCUGCGCAAGCAGGAGGAAGGUCGGGAUGACGUCAAGUCAUCAUGACCCUUAUGUCCAGGGCUACACACGUGCUACAAUGGCUGGUACAAAGGGCAGCCACUUGACGACAAGGAGCGAAUCCCAAAAAGCCAGUAGUAGUUCGGAUCGGAGUCUGCAAUUCGACUCCGGGA